rnacentral:rRNA from 1 species
UACGUAGGGGGCAAGCGUUGUCCGGAUUUAUUGGGCGUAAAGAGCGUGUAGGCGGCCUUACAGGUCAGCUGUGAAAACUCGAGGCUCAACCUCGAGACGUCGGUUGAAACCGUAAGGCUAGAGUCCGGAAGAGGAGAGUGGAAUUCCCGGUGUAGCGGUGAAAUGCGCAGAUAUCGGGAAGAACACCCGUGGCGAAGGCGGCUCUCUGGGACAGUACUGACGCUGAGACGCGAAAGCGUGGGGAGCGAACAGG